AGUCCCUUGUAAAUAUAGUAUGAGUACGACAAUAUUCGAAAGAUAUUUCAUUUAAUAAAUGAAAUAAAAUCAAUUCGAACUAGGUAAUGGGUGACAUUAAUUUUUAUGUGCAAUCACAAACCCAAUGAAUACAAUGUCACAUUAAAGCAUUCAGUAGUGAAUGUAGAGAUGGAUGGAUUGCAUCCCCUUUUUGGGUUGAACUUUUUAUAAUUGAAAUACAUCCCUCCACUUGUUUUGUAGGAUGCCCAGGUAAUAUCACUUUGCACUUUGUUUGGAGUCAAACAGGAUGAUGCGUCAGAGUUGAUGGGAAUCUGAUCCUCGUUAAUUAAAAAGUGUCGCUCACUGAUCCUCGUGGCUUGUCACAAAUCUCAGUGUCUCUUUUUAGUUUCAGUGUCCAAAUUCUUCGAAAUUUAGGGUCUUUUGGGAAAAGAACAUACUUAAUCCCUGUUCCGAUUUCACAUUGCAGUUCAAUGCAGCGCAUAGUACCAUAAAUGCAGGACUUUUCUAUGUAAACACUAUAAAAACCCUAUCAAUGCAAUCGAAAGUUGUCUCAGAUGACGUCAUAAGCUACGAGCGAUAACUCACGUCACAUCACAUUUAUCGAUCGCUCAGGUAAAGUUUGAUAGCGCCGUGUAAUUCACGCCAAGUGAUUUUUAUCAAAAUUGCCAUGGAAUUAAUCCAUAAGUGUACAACAGGCAUUUUUUCUGUAUAAAACUCCAGUUUUAGGAAAAUCAUCGUACUUGACCUUUAAGAAAUAUAUCAGGCAACUGACCAAGGCUAGACAAAUACAAAUAUCCGAAGUAUUAUGCUCUAUGAAACACGUCUGCUCGCCCAGAUAGUUUACAGGUUUAUAUGAGAGAGAGAGAGAGAGAGAGAGAGAGAGAGAGAGAGAGAGAGAGAGAGAGAGAGAGAGAGAGAGAGACUUUGAGUCCCACCUAAACUCCACCCCAAAUCACUAUAUCGUUUUAAUUUUGUAUAAUUUGUACGAUUUAUGAGAUAAAAAUAUAGAUGUAGAUAUCAUCCAUAUCGUCCGUGAUUGUCCUACUAAGGAUUUAAAAUUCUUUGGAUACAACAUUGGAUCAGCCCAUUUGAUGAACAGAACAUGUCGUAAUCACGCUCCCUAGAAAACAUUAUUAGCAACCCAAAACAAUAAACGUGUAUUAAAAUUGCAGUGUCAAUACCCUUGUACAUUUAAUGUAUAUUGGCAAACUGUUUAGAUCAUUAUUACAGCCAUAACAUUUGCGAAAUGCUGACAUUAAAAUAGACACCCUGCAUCAUCAACUUGUUUGUCAAUAGCCUAUCUCGAUUUACAAACAGACCAUAUACAGAACAAGCUCUUGCAUAUCGAAUAUUAUCUUCACCUUUCAUUGAAGUAUCAUUCUUUCUUUUGACUAAAUAACACUAAGUAACUUCAUUUGGGAUUAUUUCAACUUUCUCAUCGUCAACUUCCCAAUUUAUGUAGCAAUAUUUCAUUAUUAUCUGCAUAUGGUAUUUAUAUCUGUCAACUGAUUAUAUACACAAGAGCUUGUUCUGCAUAAGGUCAGUUAUUAACUCGAAGCAAGCUACUGGCAAACAAGUUGAUGGUACAGGGGUUUCAACAGUCUCGUUUAAAGUCAGCAUUUCGCAAAUUCUAUGGUCAUUAUAGUGGGGUUUAUCCAAUGUGGAUAAACCUGGUUAUUUUGUGCAGGUCAUAUUCAAACAUGCAUAAUUCUUACUGUUGUAAUUAAUUUUGAUCGGGUUCAGUAUACUAGCUUUCAACUUCCUUUAAUCUGAGCAUGUCAUCUAUAUUAUUCCUUUCCCUUUCGUAGUUUGACAGGUGCAGACGCACAAUUAUUUUUUCCAUUGUAAUCUGUUGUAAUCCUGCGAGUUUUGGUCAGUUAAAACAGAGAUGUUCCGGGCAGCAAGGAAAACAAAAGAAAAGAGUCCGUAUCACAGGACAAAAGCAGUGAAUCCGACCGUAAAUUACCGUCCUAGAAAUCGGCGAGUAGCAGCUACAGUGACUCGUGCCAACUCCUUCAUAUUGCAACCCAAUGAGACACAAAAUGCAGCUCCGGGUUCGAGACUGGCAAUGUUCCAAGAUGCUGUUCCGGCGGUUAUGCAGAGUGCGGCACCAUUGUUGUUACCAAAUAGGCCUACAGCACCGGCGGUGACGCGGUCGGGAUUCAGCUUGCUUCGAACCCAUCUACAUUGACUGCCUUAACUUUCCAGUAUUCGGGUACAAAUAGUCCAGGUAGGGUCAAUUAUGACCCUUUAGAUAACUUGCCGAAUCCUUUUAUUAGUGUAGCUUCUCCACUUGCUGCUCAUGUGCCACAAAACACAAGAGAAAAAAUAUUUAAUAAUCUGUUCUAAUGAUCCUACGGCAACUCAGCAAAAUCAAGUGGUAUUUGAGGAUGGUAUUUUCCAAGUAAAACGAAAACGAAGAGACCAAAGAAUUUCAAAUUUUUCACAACGGCUGGAUGUCUUUUCGAUAUUUGCUUCAGUAUACUUAACAAAAUACAAGUCUCAAGCAAUCCCAAUGUUUAGAUAUAUGACACUGAUAAAGAGGGGGUUGGAAAAUUGAGAGGUAAUUUGUUAAUCUAUGACAUUCAGUUUCGGCUGAAAAAAUUGUACAAUACAUCCUUAUGCUGGGCAUCAGUUGAUGCGAAAUUGUUGAUGAUUUACAUGCAAUCAUCCCCUUCCACAAAUUUAGGAUCUUGUCAGCCAGACCGCAAGUACAGUGCAAAUGUUAUGCUUACAAAUAUGCAUCUUCGUAAGCCAAGUGUCCGAUUCGCGUACUCUCAUCUACCCCUUAGCAGAUUUAGUCAAGUUUCUAACCCUUAAAAAUAUCACGCUUUGACUUUCCAUGGCAUCCAAUCAGAUCGCGUCAUACAUACACUUUCGGUUUGAGUAAUGACGACCUCCAUGUCUAGCCCGUGUUGUCGCCUUUGCCAUGGAAUUUUGUCCAAAAAACAAAGACGAAUGAUCUUUGGAGAAAGCUUUGGCGUGUAUGAUCAACUGCUAGAAAUAAUAGAUCAGAUUCCUCACCAAAAUGACGAAAAAAGGAAGUACAUCUACGGCAUGUAUUAGAAUAAACUAAACAGACUGAAUAAAAUCGAAUACGACAUAAAAACAAAAUUAGAACAGUUCAAAUCUGAAAGGCAUGAUUUGAUACGCGAUUUACGCAAGGGGGACAUAAGUGUACAACAAGUAUUUACACCUAAAUCCAAAAAAAACCCAUUUAAUUGUUCACUCGCGAACACCGAGGAAAAUAAAACAGCUGUUCACUGAAUCCAAGUCCACUCAGCUGACGGAUACUCCAACAUCAUCAUCGAAUCCUGUGACCGACGACAAAGACAGGAAGAAAAUGAACAUUCAGCUUUUCUCUCCCAGUAAAAUCAAGGGUGAAUCCCACCAGAAAACAUCCAAAGUAAUCUACAAUUCCACUUUACAAGACAACAUCUAUAACUGUGUGAUCAAAGUUCUCAGAAAGGAAAUGAACAAGCUUUCAUCUACCAAGACUAUGUCAUGUCUGAGAAAGACAUCAAGUGACAAGUUAGCAACGAUUAACUUCGAGUCAUGGAAUUUGGAGCUACAGUUAGAGAUUCCCCGUUAUUGUAUAAGAUAAUAUCUGGUUCCUUUAAUCCCCAUAAUCAUGUUGCAGUGGCAGAGAUCGCUGCUGUUAUCUAAACGAAUCGAGUUAUGCACAUGUUUGCCUUUCAUCAUGCAGUAACUCAAGUUUUGGAUAAUGGUGGAACAACGGAUGAGUGCAUAAAUCUUCUCAGCAAGUUGGGUCUUUGUCACCAUCUGCUGCGGCAAAGAAGUCUUUUGAUAGCAAGGUAAACUGACCACAGACAACGACUGAUGAUGUCCGAAUAGAAAGCCCUAAAAAAUACAGGUGAGGAUUGCGUUACAUCCAUAUCAGAAGCUGAGAACAGCAUAUUCAUUCCAAGUAUUGAAGAUUGCAGGUCCCUAGAAUAUAAUUUUGUUCACCAUAUUAUUAAGGUGUUGGUGAAAUAUUUUCCCUGCUUUCAAAUGAAAGAGCAUAUUCUGCACAGUUAGCUAUUUUAAAUGGAGCUAUAGAUCUUGAACUGAUAGCAGGUGUCAUACAUAGGCCAGAAGGACUGCAUAGAAUGAUGAAUCUAUGUCUGGUAACAGAUUAACCCCCUCUUGACGUUCAAUUUGAAGUUACAGUUCAAGGUUUCAAAUAUGUCAGGUAGACAUUUUUUUCAAGUUUGUUUUACCAUUGUAUAGUGUCUUCUGGAGCUUUUAGUCCUUAAAAAUUCAUUGUUUUUUUUUAAAAACUAGAUUAGAAGAUUUUUCUCAGUAUUUGGGUGGGGUGGUAUUUUAGUAUAUUGCUUGGUUCUGAAUGAUUCAAUUAUGGCCAUGUGACCUUUAUCUUAACCAGAACAGUCAGUAAGGUCAUGUUGGUUUUGAGGUACAUCAGUAUUAUGUGAAUUCAUUUUCAAUUAUAUCCUGAUCAUUUGGGACUAGGUUGGGGCCAAAAAUCAGAGGUUAACAUUUUUAUGGGAAUAAAUAUUGAUUAAAAUUCUUUUAAAAUUACAACUGCUUGCCAACGACAGGACCAAGGUCACUCAGGUGAGUGAUGUGGCCCCUUGUCCAUUUAUACAGUAUAGCUACAGAGGACAAAUGGUUUUAUUGUUUGCUGUGGGACAUGCUUACUUAUCGGUGCAUAAACUAAUAUUUCAGUUUCAAUUCAUUUAUGGAAUUUUAUUUCAUGCUGUAGAUGUUACUGUCUAAUUAGAAUUAGCUGAUUUGAAUUUUGAAUCUGCAACUGCUUGGUAGCAGAUUCAAAGCAGCUAUUUAGAUUUUAAUUAGAUUGUAGAUGUUCAAUUUUAUUGUUUUUAUUGCAUGUUAUAUUACAUUUGAUUUUAGUUUUAAUAUAGUUAGGUUGUUUACUAGAAUAACAUGCAUUGAAUAAAAUGCUGCAUGUUCUCUUCUCUGAUGUACUGUUGAAUGACCAACAACAUUAAUUUUUAAAUGAUGCCAUUUGAAUGAUAUUGA